GUAGGGAAUAUUGGGCAAUGGAGGCAACUCUGACCCAGCCAUGCCGCGUGCAGGAUGACGGCCCUCUGGGUUGUAAACUGCUUUUAUACGGGAAGAAAAAAUACUACGUGUAGUAUACUGACGGUACCGUAAGAAUAAGGAUCGGCUAACUCCGUGCCAGCAGCCGCGGUAAUACGGAGGAUCCAAGCGUUGUCCGGAUUUAUUGGGUUUAAAGGGUGCGUAGGCGGAUCUUUAAGUCAGUGGUGAAAGCCUGCAGCUUAACUGUAGAAUUGCAAUUGAAACUGAAGAUCUUGAAUGUGGUUAAAGUAGGCGGAAUGUAUCAUGUAGCGGUGAAAUGCUUAGAUAUGAUACAGAACACCGAUAGCGAAGGCAGCUUGCUGAACCAUUAUUGACGCUGAGGCACGAAAGCGUGGGGAGCGAACAGGAUUAGAUACCCCUGUAGUCC
rnacentral:rRNA from 1 species